AAGCAAAACUAGUAGGCAACACUGGCGCUGUUGCCUUGGAAAUGACAACAUCCGGUCUCUGAAUAAAAAAACACUCGUUUCUAUUUUCGAGUGAUUUUAUUUUUUGUUGUAUGAAAUAGAAAAUGAAUAUCAAAGCAUAUUUUUUUUUAAUUGCUCUCAUCACC